rnacentral:rRNA from 1 species
AUGGCGCUCCGGCGGCGGCUCUACGUGCCCCUCCUUCUCCUCCUCCUGGCCGUCGCUUUUCUGGCGUCGCCCGCCGUCGGCCUCCCUCCGGGCGGCUGCUACGAGACGGCGACGAAGGUGUCCAGGCGGUGCUCGGGGGAGUUCAUCAAGGCGCUCUUCUCCGACGACUUGCACGGGGUCAGCCGUAAAUGCUGCGAUGAGCUGACCUGCGUCCGCGAGCAGUCCUGCUUCAGCGUGCUCCUGUGGUACUGCCCGCCCGAGGCGUGGGCGCACUGUUAUGGCGGUAAAGCGGCCGCCUGGGUGCCAUUACAAGGGAGCCCCUGA